rnacentral:lncRNA from 1 species
AAUAUUAAGAUCAAUGGACAUGUUUCUAAAUGAAAGCUUCAUGAGUUCAUUGCGACAGUUGAUCAGGGUAUCGGUGGUUGCUAAAAAUGGUCGACCUAAGAUGACUGAAAUGUGACCUUUUGGGCUUGACACUAGUUCAGUUUUUAAGAUCACAAAAUGCACAGGAUAAAUGAAAUUACUAUUUUUUAUUAGCACAUCCUCCACAAUUUCCUUGGGGAUUCUCACU